GGGGGGGGGGCAAGCGUUGUUCGGGAAUUACUGGGGCGUAAAGGGGCGCGCAGGCGGCCUGGCCAGUCCUACGUGAAAUCCCACAGCUCAACUGUGGAACUGCGUGGGAUACUGCCAGGCUUGAGUCCCGGGAGAGGAGAGUGGAAUUCCCAGUGUAGCGGUGAAAUGCGUAGAUAUUGGGAGGAACACCGGUGGCGAAGGCGGCUCUCUGGACCGGCACUGACGCUGAGGCGCGAAAGCUAGGGGAGCAAACGGGAUUAGAUACCCCGGUAGUCCUAGCCCUAAACGAUGAGCACUUUGUGUGGCGGGUAUCGACCCCUGCCGUGCAGAAGCUAACGCAUUAAGUGCUCCGCCUGGGGAGUACGGUCGCAAAGGCUG
rnacentral:rRNA from 1 species